rnacentral:rRNA from 1 species
AACGAACGCUGGCGGCAUGCCUAACACAUGCAAGUCGAACGAGACCUUCGGGUCUAGUGGCGCACGGGUGCGUAACGCGUGGGAACCUGCCCUUAGGUUCGGAAUAACUCCCCGAAAGGGGUGCUAAUACCGGAUAAUGUCUUCGGACCAAAGAUUUAUCGCCUUUGGAUGGGCCCGCGUUGGAUUAGCUGGUUGGUAGGGUAAAAGCCUACCAAGGCGACGAUCCAUAGCUGGUCUGAGAGGAUGAUCAGCCACACUGGGACUGAGACACGGCCCAGACUCCUACGGGAGGCAGCAGUGGGGAAUAUUGGACAGUGGGCGGAGUCCUGAUCCAGCAAUGCCGCGUGAGUGAUGAAGGCCUUAGGGUUGUAAAGCUCUUUUACCCAGGAUGAUAAUGACAGUACCGGGAGAAUAAGCUCCGGCUAACUCCGUG